rnacentral:rRNA from 1 species
CUGUGAGCUCGAUGAGUAGGGCGGGACACGUGGUAUCCUGUCUGAAUAUGGGGGGACCAUCCUCCAAGGCUAAAUACUCCUGACUGACCGAUAGUGAACCAGUACCGUGAGGGAAAGGCGAAAAGAACCCCGGCGAGGGGAGUGAAAAAGAACCUGAAACCGUGUACGUACAAGCAGUGGGAGCACGCUUAGGCGUGUGACUGCGUACCUUUUGUAUAAUGGGUCAGCGACUUAUAUUCUGUAGCAAGGUUAACCGAAUAGGGGAGCCGAAGGGAAACCGAGUCUUAACUGGGCGUUAAGUUGCAGGGUAUAGACCCGAAACCCGGUGAUCUAGCCAUGGGCAGGUUGAAGGUUGGGUAACACUAACUGGAGGACCGAACCGACUAAUGUUGAAAAAUUAGCGGAUGACUUGUGGCUGGGGGUGAAAGGCCAAUCAAACCGGGAGAUAGCUGGUUCUCCCCGAAAGCUAUUUAGGUAGCGCCUCGUGAAUUCAUCUCCGGGGGUAGAGCACUGUUUCGGCAAGGGGGUCAUCCCGACUUACCAACCCGAUGCAAACUGCGAAUACCGGAGAAUGUUAUCACGGGAGACACACGGCGGGUGCUAACGUCCGUCGUGAAGAGGGAAACAACCCAGACCGCCAGCUAAGGUCCCAAAGUCAUGGUUAAGUGGGAAACGAUGUGGGAAGGCCCAGACAGCCAGGAUGUUGGCUUAGAAGCAGCCAUCAUUUAAAGAAAGCGUAAUAGCUCACUGGUCGAGUCGGCCUGCGCGGAAGAUGUAACGGGGCUAAACCAUGCACCGAAGCUGCGGCAGCGACGCUGAUGCGUUGUUGGGUAGGGGAGCGUUCUGUAAGCCUGCGAAGGUGUGCUGUGAGGCAUGCUGGAGGUAUCAGAAGUGCGAAUGCUGACAUAAGUAACGAUAAAGCGGGUGAAAAGCCCGCUCGCCGGAAGACCAAGGGUUCCUGUCCAACGUUAAUCGGGGCAGGGUGAGUCGACCCCUAAGGCGAGGCCGAAAGGCGUAGUCGAUGGGAAACAGGUUAAUAUUCCUGUACUUGGUGUUACUGCGAAGGGGGGACGGAGAAGGCUAUGUUGGCCGGGCGACGGUUGUCCCGGUUUAAGCGUGUAGGCUGGUUUUCCAGGCAAAUCCGGAAAAUCAAGGCUGAGGCGUGAUGACGAGGCACUACGGUGCUGAAGCAACAAAUGCCCUGCUUCCAGGAAAAGCCUCUAAGCAUCAGGUAACAUCAAAUCGUACCCCAAACCGACACAGGUGGUCAGGUAGAGAAUACCAAGGCGCUUGAGAGAACUCGGGUGAAGGAACUAGGCAAAAUGGUGCCGUAACUUCGGGAGAAGGCACGCUGAUAUGUAGGUGAAGUGAUUUACUCAUGGAGCUGAAAUCAGUCGAAGAUACCAGCUGGCUGCAACUGUUUAUUAAAAACACAGCACUGUGCAAACACGAAAGUGGACGUAUACGGUGUGACGCCUGCCCGGUGCCGGAAGGUUAAUUGAUGGGGUCAGCGCAAGCGAAGCUCUUGAUCGAAGCCCCGGUAAACGGCGGCCGUAACUAUAACGGUCCUAAGGUAGCGAAAUUCCUUGUCGGGUAAGUUCCGACCUGCACGAAUGGCGUAAUGAUGGCCAGGCUGUCUCCACCCGAGACUCAGUGAAAUUGAACUCGCUGUGAAGAUGCAGUGUACCCGCGGCAAGACGGAAAGACCCCGUGAACCUUUACUAUAGCUUGACACUGAACAUUGAGCCUUGAUGUGUAGGAUAGGUGGGAGGCUUUGAAGUGUGGACGCCAGUCUGCAUGGAGCCGACCUUGAAAUACCACCCUUUAAUGUUUGAUGUUCUAACGUGGACCCGUAAUCCGGGUUGCGGACAGUGUCUGGUGGGUAGUUUGACUGGGGCGGUCUCCUCCUAAAGAGUAACGGAGGAGCACGAAGGUUGGCUAAUCCUGGUCGGACAUCAGGAGGUUAGUGCAAUGGCAUAAGCCAGCUUGACUGCGAGCGUGACGGCGCGAGCAGGUGCGAAAGCAGGUCAUAGUGAUCCGGUGGUUCUGAAUGGAAGGGCCAUCGCUCAACGGAUAAAAGGUACUCCGGGGAUAACAGGCUGAUACCGCCCAAGAGUUCAUAUCGACGGCGGUGUUUGGCACCUCGAUGUCGGCUCAUCACAUCCUGGGGCUGAAGUAGGUCCCAAGGGUAUGGCUGUUCGCCAUUUAAAGUGGUACGCGAGCUGGGUUUAGAACGUCGUGAGACAGUUCGGUCCCUAUCUGCCGUGGGCGCUGGAGAACUGAGGGGGGCUGCUCCUAGUACGAGAGGACCGGAGUGGACGCAUCACUGGUGUUCGGGUUGUCAUGCCAAUGGCACUGCCCGGUAGCUAAAUGCGGAAGAGAUAAGUGCUGAAAGCAUCUAAGCACGAAACUUGCCCCGAGAUGAGUUCUCCCUGACUCCUUGAGAGUCCUGAAGGAACGUUGAAGACGACGACGUUGAUAGGCCGGGUGUGUAAGCGCAGCGAUGCGUUGAGCUAACCGGUACUAAUGAACCGUGAGGCUUAACCUU